rnacentral:rRNA from 1 species
GGGCCCGCACAAGCGGUGGAACAUGUGGUUCAAUUCGACGCAACGCGAAGAACCUUACCUGGGCUUGAACUGCCACUGACCAGCGGUGGAAACAUCGCCUUCCCGCAAGGGACAGUGGUAGAGGUGCUGCAUGGCUGUCGUCAGCUCGUGCCGUGAGGUGUUGGGUUAAGUCCCGCAACGAGCGCAACCCUUACUCUUAGUUGCCACCCGCAAGGGGGAACUCUAAGAGGACUGCUCCGGAUAACGGAGAGGAAGGUGGGGAUGACGUCAAGUCAGCACGGCCUUUAUGUCCAGGGCUACACACGUGUUACAAUGCACGGUACAGACUGUUGCGAACCCGCGAGGGGGAGCCAAUCGGAAAAACCGUGCUCAGUUCGGAUUGCAGUCUGCAACUCGACUGCAUGAAGCUGGAAUCGCUAGUAAUGGCGUAUCAGAACGACGCCGUGAAUACGUUCCCGGGCCUU